rnacentral:rRNA from 1 species
AUUGAACGCUGGCGGCAGGCCUAACACAUGCAAGUCGAGCGGAUGAAGGGAGCUUGCUCCUGGAUUCAGUGGCGGACGGGUGAGUAAUGCCUAGGAAUCUGCCUGGUAGCGGGGGAUAACGUCCGGAAACGGGCGCUAAUACCACAUACGUCCUGAGGGAGAAAGUGGGGGAUCUUCGGACCUCACGCUAUCAGAUGAGCCUAGGUCGGAUUAGCUAGUUGGUGGGGUAAAGGCCUACCAAGGCGACGAUCCGUAACUGGUCUGAGAGGAUGAUCAGUCACACUGGAACUGAGACACGGUCCAGACUCCUACGGGAGGCAGCAGUGGGGAAUAUUGGACAAUGGGCGAAAGCCUGAUCCAGCCAUGCCGCGUGUGUGAAGAAGGUCUUCGGAUUGUAAAGCACUUUAAGUUGGGAGGAAGGGCAGUAAGUUAAUACCUUGCUGUUUUGACGUUACCAACAGAAUAAGCACCGGCUAACUUCGUG